UGGACACCUGCUUGCCUUCCAGUUUGCCGUGGUUGCCCUGUUUGUAGCCCGGUCGAAGACUGUCAAGCCGAAGGCACUUGGUCUUCGCCUGCCUCUUGGAUUUGUUCUAGCCUGUGUUGGUGCUUCGCAAUCCGACAAGGUGCCGAAGGGGGACCGUCCGAAGACACCAAGCAUGUCCUUCCUCGGACGCACCUGCAUGACUCCGGCAAUAUUGGAUGACAUGGUGAAGCGCGGAGUGAUUGCCGCCGGCUCCGCGCGAGUGCCUCCAAUGAGCAACGCGCACCCGGAGAUCGACGAGGUUGUCGUAUUCAAGGAUUUCUUCACCGCCGGUCUUCGGUUCCCUCUGGAUACAGUUGUGGUGGAUAUCUUCGGAUUAUAUAAGAUUUUUCUGCAUCAGAUGAUGCCCACUUCCUUUCUGCAGCAUAAUAUGUACUUUUGGUUAGCGAAGACAUGCAGACUAGCACCCAGUUCCGAGGGCUUCAUGCGCGUUCACCGGGUGCACUACCAGCUGAAGACCAUUGUCGUCCCAUCGGCCGAGGGCGAGAAGGUCGAAGCAGAGCCCCAGUUUGGUUGUUGCACCCUCGCGUUUUGCCCUACGGUUCCCAGCCCCGUGACCUCUUACAAGAAUAAAUGGGGAGGUGACUGGGCUUCGUUCUGGUUUUAUCACAAGGUUCCUUUGGAUCCUGUGAUGAAGAGCAAUCCGCUUGUUGCGAAGACCAUUGGAGAGUUAGGCGAGAACCCGACAGCGGAUCCCAAUGAGCAGCCGGAGCACGCGGCCUUCCUUGCCAUGCUUUGGGAGGUGUCGAAGGUUCUCGGGACCCGGUACAUCAUGGAGGAGUACUGCGCUUGUCAGUGCUCCCCGUGAAGUCUGGGUGGACCAUCAAGACCUGGGCCCCCGAAGAGAAGUGGUUUCAUGGCAUUCCGAUGCCGAACUUCGCCGAUUCAUUCAGCUUGAAAAGAGAACAGAUUGAUGUCGAAGCCAUUGAAAACUUGGCUGACGAGGUGAUAGGUCCCCAAGCAAACAAUGAGUAUCAACGCCUCGUUGUGCUACUCGGUGGAGCCCGGAACAAUUGAGUGUUCUGGUUCUUCGGCGUGGAGGCACCCCAGCGGGUCAUCCAGGCCAAGCUCAUCGAAGCCGAGAAGAAGAAGAAACUAAAGGCGAUACAGCCGAAGGCUGGACUUGGCUCCACUGGCCGGCUGCAAAAAAGCAAGAGGAAAUGUGGCGCUCCGGUGACCGCUGUGCCGAAGCGUCCCCGCGUCAUGGAGCAACUCCUCAGCUUCUCACCCCUGCGCGACCGGGGGGAUUCUGAAGACGCCGUCAGCAAUAGCGACACUCCGCCGUAGGCGCAGCCCCUUCAGGCGCGCUUGGGGGCGUAUGGCCUCGGCCGCACUCCUGCGGUCGAGUACAGAGAGAUGGAGCCAUAGAGCGAUGAUGACGAGCGUAGGUCGCCUCAGGUUGUCAUCGACUCUCCUGCCCCUGCCGAGGCCGGCACCAGCUCCACGUCCAGCCAAUCAUCUUCGUCGACGGAGGAUGCUGGGGACAACGAAGAGAAGGAAGAAAGCGGUGACGCCGCCGCUCAAACGAAGGCGACUGGGACGGGAGAGCCGACAGCUGAACAGGCUGGAGGGGGUGGGCGAAGCUCCAGCUCCUCGGACAGCAGCAACUUCUUCAUCAGCGAAGCCGACCCCCACACUGUUGCUGCAGAGCUGGGGGUCCCGUCUUCGUCAAGGUUGAUAGGCGGUCGGGUUGUCGGGAGCCUACGCUUCGAGAGCCGGGACUGGGAGAAGGAAUUCUUGUCCUCCGCUGUGGAAACAUUUUGUUUCCCCCUUAUGGAGAAAAGAUUGAUGGAGACUGGGCUCCCCAACAUGCUGCAAUGCGCGCAGGACCUGGCGAUGAAGGCUUUUGUAGCUUCUCAUUGUGCCACGCGCCAAUUGGAGGCCGAAGGCAGCGCAGCAUCCUGGGUGAUGGAGCUGGAAGCGAGGAUCGCUGCCCUUGAGCAAGACAAGGUUAAUCUACAAGCCUCCUUGUCCGCUUCCCUUGCCGAAGCAGAGGAGACGUCAAAGGCGCUUGCCGAAGCCCAUCAGCGAGCCGCCGAUGCCGAGGAGCAGUCGAAGGCAGCGGAGGAGUGACGGUUAAAGACAAAGGAAACACUAGGCCGCUACCGCGAAGCCAUUUGCUCUGGCGCCGAAGGCCUUCAGGCGGAUAUUCACAAGCUUCUUGAAAGGUUUGGCCUGACGCCUCCGGAGGUGUCCCGGGAAGACCACGUUGGUGUUGAGGAGCUGUUUCGGUGGCUUCGCGCCUGUGUGGCCAUGGCCGAAACCGGCAGCCUGUUCUUCGGAGAUUUGAGCGCCGCCAUCGCCGCCCGAAGCUUGAGCGCCUCAGUGUGUAACCUUCUUUCUUCGGGAUCGGGUGCUUCGAACAGCAUCACGAAGAACGACCUCCGAACCCUUCGCGACAAGACCUUUCAAUGGCCCACCGAAGAGGACGUCCGCACCGAAAACUUGCCGCCCCUCCCCAAGAACAUCGCCGAGACCUUUUUCCGUGACAAAGGGCGUGGCUUGGUGGCAAGAGAGGGCAAACGCCUAAGGCCGCAGCUUCAAGCUAAGGCCGAAGCAUAUGCUCGGGAUGUGCUUGGGGCCGCCGCCGCCGCUGGUAACCUGAGGGACGAAGCACCGGCUCAUGAAGACGAAGGUGUGAGGGCGGGUGAUGGUCAAGGUGGCGGAGACGCUACGGCCGAAGAGGUGUGAGGAUGAUGCUAUGGCUUUAGCCGGCCUUGUAAAGAAAUGUACUUUUGAGAUCUAAUGCCUUUGGUGUCUGUGCAAAACCUUGUGUUGGAACCUGUGCGGACUACCGAAGGCAUUGUCCCUUUGCGGAUGAACCGCGGUAAUUUUUAUGUCUUGGAAAUGUUGGUCUAAAUUUCA